UGGGGAAUAUUGCACAAUGGGCGCAAGCCUGAUGCAGCCAUGCCGCGUGUGUGAAGAAGGCCUUCGGGUUGUAAAGCACUUUCAGCGGGGAGGAAGGCGGUGAGGUUAAUAACCUCAUCGAUUGACGUUACCCGCAGAAGAAGCACCGGCUAACUCCGUGCCAGCAGCCGCGGUAAUACGGAGGGUGCAAGCGUUAAUCGGAAUUACUGGGCGUAAAGCGCACGCAGGCGGUCUGUCAAGUCGGAUGUGAAAUCCCCGGGCUCAACCUGGGGACUGCAUUCGAAACUGGCAGGCUAGAGUCUUGUAGAGGGGGGUAGAAUUCCAGGUGUAGCGGUGAAAUGCGUAGAGAUCUGGAGGAAUAACGGUGGCGAAGGCGGCCCCCUGGACAAAGACUGACGCUCAGGUGCGAAAGCGUGGGGAGCAAACAGG
rnacentral:rRNA from 1 species